rnacentral:rRNA from 1 species
CCUACGGGCGGCAGCAGUGGGGAAUAUUGGACAAUGGGCGAAAGCCUGAUCCAGCCAUGCCGCGUGUGUGAAGAAGGCCUUCGGGUUGUAAAGCACUUUCAGUGGGGAAGAAAGCCUUGGGGCUAAUACCCUCGAGGAAGGACAUCACCCACAGAAGAAGCACCGGCUAACUCCGUGCCAGCAGCCGCGGUAAUACGGAGGGUGCGAGCGUUAAUCGGAAUUACUGGGCGUAAAGCGCGCGUAGGCGGUCUGAUAAGCCGGUUGUGAAAGCCCCGGGCUCAACCUGGGAACGGCAUCCGGAACUGUCAGGCUAGAGUGCAGGAGAGGGAGGUAGAAUUCCCGGUGGAGCGGUGAAAUGCGUAGAGAUCGGGAGGAAUACCAGUGGCGAAGGCGGCCUUCUGGACUGACACUGACGCUGAGGUGCGAAAGCGUGGGUAGCAAACAGGAUUAGAUACCCGAGUAGUC